rnacentral:tRNA from 1 species
GUCUGGCUGGCUCAGUCAAAAGAGCAUGUGACUCCUGAUCUCAGGGUCAUGAGUUCGAGCCCUAUGUUAGGUG